UCGACGAAGCCUUCGGGCUUAGUGGCGGACGGGUGAGUAACGCGUGAGAAUCUCCCUUCAGGAUGGGGACAACCGUUGGAAACGACGGCUAAUCCCCAAUGUGCCGAGAGGUGAAAGGGUUUCCGCCUGAAGAAGAGCUCGCGUCCGAUUAGUUAGUUGGUGAGGUAAGAGCUCACCAAGGCAGCGAUCGGUAGCUGGUCUGAGGGGAUGAGCAGCCACACUGGGACUGAGACACGGCCCAGACUCCUACGGGAGGCAGCAGUGGGGAAUUUUCCGCAAUGGGCGAAAGCCUGACGGAGCAGCGCCGCGUGUGGGAAGAAGGCUCUUGGGCUGUCAACCACUUUUCUCAGGGAAGAAGAUCUGACGGUACCUGAGGAAUCAGCCUCGGCUAACUCCGUGCCAGCAGCCGCGGUAAUACGGAGGAGGCAAGCGUUAUCCGGAAUUAUUGGGCGUAAAGCGUCCGCAGGGGGCGCAUCAAGUCUGCUGUUAAAGGCUGGAGCUUAACUCCGGUAGAGCAGUGGAAACUGGUGCGCUAGAGGGCGACAGGGGUAGAGGGAAUUCCCAGUGUAGCGGUGAAAUGCGUAGAGAUUGGGAAGAACACCGGUGGCGAAAGCGCUCUACUGGGUCGCACCUGACCCUCAGGGACGAAAGCUAAGGUAGCGAAAGGGAUUAGAUACCCCUGUAGUCUUAGCCGUAAACGAUGGAUACUAGGGCGUGGCUUGUAUCGACCCAAGCCGCGCCGAAGCUAACGCGUUAAGU
rnacentral:rRNA from 1 species